ensembl:lincRNA
UGCACCCCCCGCUCUCAGGAUGAUGGAUUUAGACCCAAAUCUGGUGAAGGUGAUCUGGAAGAGGGAAAUGAUUUCCAAAUGGAUAUUCCUCAAAACCUUUGGAAGUCAUCUGUUCAGAUUAAAGAAUCAGAUGAUGCCACAACACAAGAAUCGAGCAGUGCUUCUCCUCGUGUUAAUCCAGAACAAUCACGAGGUCCAAUUGGAGAAAUCAGGGCGAGUUGGAGCCUGACAGUGAAGAAGUCUUUGAAGAAGCAACCACCAGAUCAAGACUCACUACCUUUAAAAUACAAGUGCACGUCUGCUCGAAACGGCAUGGAUAUUAAAUUAACCAAACACAAAAAGGAAUUAUUCACUUGCAGAAGUCUUUCUCAAACGAAGGGAAGUUUUACCCGAGUCUUUCACGAACUGGCUGUUGUCGGCGAUAACUCCACAGCUGAGAUGUGAGUGAGCAACGGGACGUCCAGUUGAACGUCCUUCCAAGGAACGGCACACAUAUUGAUUGAUCACCCUGCAUGUCAAACACUGGGUGGACAGUUUAGAGCUGGGUCGGGAUUUGAACCCAGGCUUGACAGCUGAUAAGACGAGUAUGCAACAGGAUGUCCAAGUUUACGUCCAUCCGAGGGACGGCACACACAUUGAUUAAUCACCCUGCCUGUGAAACCCCCUAAUGUCAUUUUACAGCUGGGUCGGGAUUCGAACCCAGGUUAGACAGGUUCGAGACAGGCGAGUGUGUGACGGGACAUCCAGUUUAACGUCUAUCCGAGGGAUGGCACACACCGAGAUGAAUCACCUUCCUGCAGCAAACAUACACAUUCUCUUGCUGCUCACUCUGCCAACAAUUUGGGUAUGCCUAUACAUAAAGUUGGUUGUAUUUCAAUCCGUUGAUUUGCAUCAUUUUGGGAUGUAAUAAAAAAAAACGACAGGUAAAUUCACGUUUUCAAUUUUAACCCAAAAAAUUGUGAAACGGGCAGAUUUGAUCUUUGUCAGCUUCCUUAAAACACCGUGAGUUCUUCACAUUCCCAAAUAUACAAGAGUUGUUCUCGAACGUUAUUGUGAAAAGGAAAGUGAAAUUGUUACGAUGAUAAAGUUUACUGUUGUAUACUAUCGUACAAAAGGUGGAAAAAACGCGAUCGUUUUUCUUUCUAAAUUGCAUACAAAUGCAUAACGGAAAUCACCUUCACCAAGCAUCGAGUGCUAACCAAUAUGGCGUCCCGCAGCUGCACCGGGCUAUGUGUGUUGUGAAUGCCAAUGAGCAUUCCAUUUAUUUUCAGUUCUGUUUUGGUAAUUCACAAAGUUAACUGAGACAAAAGCCAGGAUUGAGGGGAGGGAGGAAGGGUUUAUUGUUCGGUAAGCCAAAUUUAAAAUUAUCGAUGGAUUUAAUCCAUUCCAAAAUAACAAAAUAUAUAAAACAUGAGGCAUUUUAUUGUUUUUUUUAAACAACAUACACAUAGACAUUUCCGUACAUGAUUUGUGGUAAUCCACAUGAUGGACGAAGACAAAAGCCAGGAUUGAGGGGGUCGGGGUACAAUGUACCAUAAACCGAAUUUAAUAACGCAACAUAUUUUGACAUUUUACUUUUGUUGUGGUAUCGAGUUGGAUGAAGAAUAAAAAUGAAAAAUGACAUCACAAUACUCUUCUGGUUUUGCAUCACAAUAUCUUUUGCAAUCCCACAACAAAAGUAAAAUGUUGAAAGAUGUGAUGGUGAUCCAUCAGAGGAUUGUGGUGUUGUAUUGUGGAAUCGUAAUGUGGUGUCAUUCCUUCCUUGUUUGGUUGUUUUUUUUUUUUGAAGAUUUCAUCCCUCCAUGUUUUAACAUUUUUAUUAAAAUGUUCUUUUUUUCUUGGAUUGAUGAGGGUUACUCUGGCAAACUUCCCUGAACUUUUCAAAUAUUGUACAUCUUUGAGUAACUAAAUGUCAGUUUUGAGAUGGAGUUUGUGGUAUUCACCGAGGUGUUGAAAUUAAACUUACUACACACUGUUUUACGCAUGUUGAUCGUCUUCCUCGGAUAUAUGAGUUUUAUUCACCUCAUUGUGGAAACCCUUUUGGAUGGUUUUGUGAUUCAUCACAUCUACGAAAGUUGUCUGCAUAGUAAUAUGUGUGAACUCCUUUUUGGGAUGUGAGCUUAAUUUUUUUCUUGGUCAGAAUAAUUUGUUUCGAGAUUUGAAAAUAUUUAAAGACUCGAUGCUAUAAAGGUAGAUUAAGGACUUGCCAUUCAUGUGUGUGUUUCAAGAAAUCUAAGAUGAGUUUUGUGAGUUGGGAUUGUUUUUGUAAAAGUAAUGCAUUUCCGGUCUGUGUUGGAAAUGGCUGUGAUGUCUCCUGGUAUCUCGCAUCGUUCAUGUGUGAAUAAAUAUGUCGUUGGUUGGCAUUGUUGUAAAGAAAGACUGGGAUGAAAGACGGAGGUUUAUAAUUGAGAUUAUAACUUUGAUGAGCAACUCAUCUAUUUUUCAGGAUGAUGACAAUGGUCUACAACUUUUGGUACUUUCUCAACCUUCUCUGAAGAGCUGAUUAUUUAAUCUGGACAACGAUAGCAAAUCAUAGAGGUCUUAAAAUCUCCCUCAUCGCAUCAAGGAUGCUUUCAAAGUCGGCGUAUAUUAUAAACUAGCAAAUACCACCUGAUGCUUUGCUGAUGAUACUGAAAGGGGGUGGUAGGGUGACAUGGAGGAGGGAGAGUGGAAACGAGAGCAAGGAAGGAGGAGAGAUAAAGGAUGGGGGAAAACAAUGGCCAAACCACACGGCGCUAUACCCUCCAGGAAGGAGGGUGAUGGGAGAGAGUAAAGGAGGAGAAAAGGAGAGAGAGCGAGGCGGGGGGAAGAGUGACACCUCUGCACACAUCGCGAAACACUCCAGGAGGAAGGUGUGCAAGGAG